UACAGAUCAACACACAAGUCCUGAUUUUGGUUUACAAGGUCAUCAACAGCACGCUAAUCCCAUGACAUCUGUAAGGAAGAUACAAGGAGACCAGAAAGCCUCAAGAGGAACAAUCACUCACUAGAUGAAUCAAGAGCACAAAUUGGUAGAGAUAUUCUUAAGUAACGACAUGAUUAUCGUCCAUCAAUGUCUGCUUUCAGUUACUCCUCUUUCACAAUUUUCUUAAUUUAUGUAAGAAUGAAUAGC
rnacentral:lncRNA from 1 species